UUAAGUUCAGCGGGUAUCCCUACCUGAUCCGAGGUCAACCUUGUAAAUAAAUUCUCCCUGAAGGGGAGGCAGACCGUGCCCCGCGAACCCUUACUCCAGUACGUGUCCCGUGAAGAACUCAGUGUACCGGGGGUCCAACGAGGCCGCCGUCAUUGUCUUUGGGACGGGCGGGAGCCCCGCGAGGGGCCUCCGCCAAAUCG
rnacentral:misc_RNA from 1 species